GCGUGCUUGCACAAGACUGAAUCUGGAUCACCAUCUAGUGGCAGACGGGUGAGUAACACGUGGGUGACCUACCUUUUCGUUGGGGAUAACAGUUGGAAACGAUUGCUAAUACCGAAUAAAAUAUAAGAGCCAAUUUUAUAUUGAAAGGAGCCUUUAAAGCUUCGCGAUUAGAUGGGCCUGCGGCGUAUUAACUUGUUGGUGAGGUAACGGCUCACCAAGGUAACGAUGCGUAGCCGAACUGAGAGGUUGAUCGGCCACACUGGGACUGAGACACGGCCCAGACUCCUACGGGAGACAGCAGUUAGGAAUAUUCGUCAAUGGGGGAAACCCUGAACGAGCAAUGCCGCGUGAGUGAUGACGGUCCUUUGGAUUGUAAAACUCUGUUGUAUGGAAAAAAUGACUAGGCUAGGAAAUGAACCUAGUGUGAUGGUACCAUACCAGAAAGCCCCGGCUAACUACGUGCCAGCAGCCGCGGUAAUACGUAGGGGGCGAGCGUUAUCCGGAUUUAUUGGGCGUAAAGCGUGUGUAGGCGGUUUGUUAAGUUUAAGAUUAAAGCCUGGGGCUCAACUCCAGUUCGUCUUAAAAACUGGCAGACUAGAGUGCGGUAGAGGCAAACGGAAUUUCUAGUGUAGCGGUGAA
rnacentral:rRNA from 1 species